GAUAUGGUUCUUUGGCCUAAAUUAACUGAAAAUAAUAGAGCAACUGCCUUCUAAGUAGUAGGUCUUGUGUUCGAAUCACAACGGGAUCACCA
rnacentral:tRNA from 1 species